CGCCCGUCUGAGGGUCGGCUAGACCCAAAGCAAUCGUCUCCUAGAAUCGGGAUCCCCCGCGGCAGAGCGGUCGUUCACGGACUUCAACGUGUCGGACGGACCCUGCCGCACGCGACCCGCGGAGGCGCCCUGGGCCCUCGAGGACUCUUUUGGGGGUCCCCGUGGCCUCAAAUUCAUGCAGCGCCGUCACUGCUCUUCGACCCGUUUGGCAUCGACGGCUCCGCCGCACGGCAGGACUCGGAUUGCGUAGCUUUCUCUCAAACGAGCCUGCCCGCAGCUCUUUAAGGCGACCGUGCGUUGUUAUCCGGGUGGAGCGAGCGCCGGUGACGCGCCCCUCCGCCAAACGACAGGAGAUGAUCCUUUCACAUCUCCGACCUCAGAUCGGACGAGAUUACCCGCUGAAUUUAAGCAUAUAACUAAGCGGAGGAAAAGAAACUAACAAGGAUUUCCCCAGUAACGGCGAGUGAAGCGGAAAGAGCCCAGCACCGAAUCCCUCAGUGUCAUGCUGACGGGAACUGUGGUGUGAGGGACGCCACCAGUCGCACCAGAGGGUACCGAAGUCCUCCUGAUCGGGGCUUCACCCAGAGUGGGUGUAAGGCCUUUGCUGGUACCUCUCGGUGCGGCCGCGAGCGUCUCAGGAGUCGGG
rnacentral:rRNA from 1 species